rnacentral:rRNA from 1 species
AACGAACGCUGGCGGCAGGCCUAACACAUGCAAGUCGAGCGCCCCGCAAGGGGAGCGGCGGACGGGUGAGUAACGCGUGGGAACGUACCCUUUGCUACGGAAUAGCCUCGGGAAACUGGGAGUAAUACCGUAUGUGCCCUUCGGGGGAAAGAUUUAUCGGCAAAGGAUCGGCCCGCGUUGGAUUAGGUAGUUGGUGGGGUAAUGGCCUACCAAGCCGACGAUCCAUAGCUGGUUUGAGAGGAUGAUCAGCCACACUGGGACUGAGACACGGCCCAGACUCCUACGGGAGGCAGCGGUGGGGAAUCUUAGACAAUGGGCGCAAGCCUGAUCUAGCCAUGCCGCGUGAGCGAUGAAGGCCUUAGGGUUGUAAAGCUCUUUCAGUGGGAAGAUAAUGACUGUACCCACAGAAGAAGCCCCGGCUAACUCCGUG